AUGGAAUUUCAAAUAUCGUUUGAUGCUAACUUGAGAUCAUUUGCGUGUUUUUUGUUCAUUAGUGAUCAGAAUUAUCGAUUCCGUUAUGUUUUUCCAAGUAAUUUUGUGAAACAGUGUAGUGAUGUCCGAUUUAUGAAAACAGACUCGAAAUGUGAUUUAAUUAUGGUUUAUUGCACAAGUGAGGUUGCUUUGAUGUUUGGACGACAUUUAUGUCAAGUUUUGUUAGUUUUGAAUCGAAAUGUUAUGCGGUUUAUGAUAUUAAUAUGUUAUUGUACGGGAUUUGUAAAUGGUAGCAUACUUAAAUUUUAA